AGUGAGGAAAAGAUGGAAGAGAGAGUAGAUGACGAUGUGGUUCAUGAUGAUAGCAAAGGUGAAGGGGAGGUGGUGUUGAUGGUGAUGGUGGGUAGGAGUUGGGUAAGACUAUUACACAAACACCCCAAAAAUCUGUGGCUGUGAAGUGAUCCCUUCAUAGUGUGACUUGAAUGUAAGUGUCAAUUUUGUGUCAGUCGGUGGCCAG